AGAAUCAACGCUGGCGGCGUGCCUAACACAUGCAAGUCGAACGAGAAAGUGGAGCAAUCCAUGAGUAAAGUGGCGACCGGGUGAGUAACACGUGACUAACCUACCUUCAAGUGGGGAUAACCUCGGGAAACCGGGCUAAUACCGCAUAACAUCUUUGGAGUGGAAAUUCUGGAGAUCAAAGGAGCAAUUCGCUGGAAGAGGGGGUCGCGGCUGAUUAGCUAGUUGGCGGGGUAAUGGCCACCAAGGCUUUGAUCGGUAGCCGGCCUGAGAGGGCGCACGGCCACACUGGAACUGAAACACGGUCCAGACUCCUACGGAGGCAGCAGUGGGGAAUUUUGCGCAAUGGGGAAACCCUGACGCAGCAACGCCGCGUGGAGGAUGAAAGUCCCUUGGGACGUAAACUCCUUUCGACCGGGAAGAUUAUGACGGUACCGGUGGAAGAAGCCCCGGCUAACUCGUGCCAGCAGCCGC
rnacentral:rRNA from 1 species